UACAGAGGUGCUCAAGCGUUGUUCGGAUUCAUUGGGCGUAAAGGGUGCGUAGGCGGCGCGGUAAGUCGGGUGUGAAAUUUCGAGGCUUAACUUCGAAACUGCAUUCGAUACUGCCGUGCUUGAGGACUGGAGAGGAGACUGGAAUUUACGGUGUAGCGGUGAAAUGCGUAGAUAUCGUAAGGAAGACCAGUGGCGAAGGCGGGUCUCUGGGCCGUAACUGACGCUGAGGAGCGAAAGCAUGGGGAGCGAACAGG
rnacentral:rRNA from 1 species